rnacentral:rRNA from 1 species
GACGAACGCUGGCGGCGUGCUUAACACAUGCAAGUCGAACGGAAAGGCCCUGCUUUUGUGGGUUGCUCGAGUGGCGAACGGGUGAGUAACACGUGAGUAACCUGCCCUUGACUUUGGGGUAACUUCAGGAAACUGGGGCGAAUACCGGAUAGGAGCUCCUGCUGCAUGGGGGGGGUUGGAAAGUUUCGGCGGUUGGGUAUGGACUCGCGGCUUAUCAGCUUGUUGGUGUGGUAGUGGCUUACCAAGGCUUUGACGGGUAGCCGGCCUGGGAGUGUGACCGGCCACAUUGUGCCUGAGAUACGGCCCAGACUCCUACGGGCGGCAACAGUGGGGACUAUUGCACAAUGGGCCGAAGCCUGAUGCAGCAACGCCGCGUGCGGGAUGACGGCCUUCGGGUUGUAACAAGCUUUCGCCUGUGACGACGCGUGAGUGACGGUACUGGGCAAAGAAGCACCGGCUAACUACGU